AAGACUAUACUUUCAGGGAUCAUUUCUAUAGUUUGUUAAAUUUGAACUGUGACAAAAGCACUGGAUAUAAAAACAAGUGUUUGU
ensembl:snoRNA U3 Small nucleolar RNA U3